GUCUAUGGCCAUGCCAUCCUGAACAAGCCCGAUCCCGUCUGAUCUCGGAAACUAAACAGGGUCGGGCCUGGUUAGUACUUGGAUGGGAGACCACCUAGGAAGACCAGGUGCUGUAGGCA
rnacentral:rRNA from 1 species